GGGGGCAUGGGGUGAGAGGUCUGAACUGCCGUGACCAAGAGGACUUUGCCAGGUCUCCCAGUGGCAUGCAUGAUGCACUAAUGUGCUGAGCCUUGCCCUGCUGCUGUUCCCCAAGGAGCAAUAACAGCUUCCCGGAAGGAAAGGGAACAGCAGGAGACCCAGCUGUCCCUGGAGAGGUCUCCAUAUGAAAUCCCUCCUUCAUCCUGCCAGCAAAUCCCACUGGGUUGAGUGUCAUGAGGGCCACGGUCUUUGUCCCCACGUGUAAUACCAAAACAGAAGCAGCAGGUCCCACGGGCACAUUCCUUCUGCCCACCCCCAGCAGUGGGCUGGGAGGGGUGGUCUCCUGCUGAGGCUGAGAUUUGGUUCCCUUCCUUUCCCCCCUCACUCCUUUUUUUUUAAUGAGCUGUAGCCUAACUCCUGGCACGUUCCCAGAGCUUCUCUCCCAUGGUGAGCCUUGAUACAGAGCCAGAAUAAAUCAUCCUUUGUCUUGUCAGAAAAUUCUCCCCGUGACUUUGUGCUUGUUCCCAAAGACCGCUGGGCUUCCCUGCUUGUCCCGUGGAUAUCCCACAGGAGUUGUCACCGCUGGUUAAUCUUCGGUGACGUUAAACUGAUACACUAAAAAUCAGAGGGAUGCUGAUGUGCAUGGAUGUAUGAGCCCUUUAUGUAUGGUAACCGACUGCUGGAUGGGUCCCUCUUGUAGUAGCUGGUCACCCCAAAAACCGUCCUGUGCUACAUCCCUGCUCAGACUGAGGGCUGGGGGAGGAAAGGACGUGGCUUCUCCAGAGUUUUCGGUUUGUUACUCUGCUAUAUUUGUUAUCUGGAUUCUUAAGUAACGAGUGCUUUGAAUUUUGUGAUUAUGUUACGGUGAUGUGUAGUUAAUGUACUAAUGUUCACUUGAGCUAGGGUCAUGGUAACAGUGUGGUUUGUUUUUUUUAACUGUUCAGAAAAUAACUUAAAUACAAAGGUUAAGCUGUGAACCUCUCCUGUUUUCCUUUUGGGAUGAAGGGGCAGUGUUGGAGCAUCACGGCUGUGCCUUGCAUUUGGACAGCACGAACCUCCCUGCCCCACCACCUGCCUGGGGGCCGCUCCCGGGGCCCGUGUCCAUGCUCUGGAAGGCAGAAAGAGAGGAAAAAAAGCCAUCACCACCACUUUUUUCCUAAAACCACAGCAUACUUUUUAAUUAACAAACUCCAUUGAAUGGCUGAUGGCCUCUAGCUGGGGCGAAUGAGUCUGCCCUGUAAGUCAGAGUGGAUGUGACGCACCGAGCCACAGCCAUCUUGCCUAUAAAAGUAUAAAGACUGUGCUUUUCUGGGUACACUUGCAAGAUCCUGGGAGGAGAAGCACAAAUUUGUUUUAUAAGCUAAUCAGAAUCCUGCUGUUCAAUAAUGAGUGAGUAAUUGACAUAUCGCGGCACCGCCAUGCGACACAAUGGCUGGGGAUGCUGAAAUGCUGACGAUUCGAACGCGAGCACCCUUGGCCUCAGAAUACCUUUCUCUUAAAAAUGCUCUGCGGAUGGCAACCUCAGAUCUUCCCAUUUUACUUAACAGCCCCUUUUAAAACAAAGGCGACUGCGGUUUUAAGAUCCCUGCUCCCGGGGUGGGCAGAAAACAAACACGCGCCGCACACCCGCUGCCACUCUCCCUGCUGGCUCCAUUCUUGGGAACCAGCAGGGGAUGGAGAUGGCGAACCUCCUGCAUUCUGCAGGGCUGGGAGUCCUGUCACCUCCAAUCCCCAUCUCUCCUUGUGACAGCAUUCCCAGCAGCCGGGUGCUUUGUUUGGAGAGGGUUGGAUUUUUAAUGCGCGCAUCAUCUAUUUACGCUGCUUUAUCCUCUGCUGUUCCUAUCCUGCUCUACCUCUGGCCAACCCUUCCUCCCCUUCCCUUUGAUACCCCAACACAAGGGUCAUCGAAUCACAGGGUGGUCGAGUUGGAAGGGACCCGAGAGGUGAGAGAGUCAUAGAACAGUUGGGUUGGAAGGGACCCCAAAGAUGGGAGAAUCAUAGAACAGUGGGGUUGGAAGGGACCCCAAAGACCGUCCAGUUCCAACCCAUCAGAGUGGGCUGGAGAACCCUUCCCAGCAAUUCUGCCUUCACAUCCAGGAACUCAGGACCUGAAGCUCUCUCCUCUCUGAGACAGAAAAGCAAUCUCCAUUGUAAAUUUCUGCAGGAACAAAGUGAGUACCAGGCAGCUUAUCUUAAAUAGAUUCAGUGCUUAAUUAUCCUUUCCUUUUAAAAAUGUGUGCCUUAUUUCCACUUCAAAUGAAGAAGGAAAGUAAUGUUUGCCAUAUCUCCAAAUUAACAGCGUUUGAUCGACCCACGGCUUUCAAAUGAAAUCUUCUGGUGGUGUUUUCUUUCUUUUUUUUCUUUAUCAGUUUUAUAUGCACACUUCAGUAAGGUGUGUUUUGGGAAGAGGGGAAUUGGUCAGUGUCGGCCUGCUGGGCACAUCAAUGGUGGGAGCCUCGUGGCUGCUGGGGAUGUUUGCUGAGCUGAGGGGCUGCUGUGCCAGGGACUGCUGGGGUUGGAGGAGGAAAACCUGGGUGUGGAAGGGCUCCGUGCAGCGCCUCACCUGCCCCCUGCUCUCUGUCACCCUCCUGGUAUCCUUCGGCUCCUCCAUGCUCUAUGGCUACAACCUGGCCGUGGUGAACUCACCAGCAGUGCACAUAAAGGCCUUCUACAACGCCACAUGGUCCCAGCGCUAUGGGCAUGGGCUGCCCCCUGGGCCCCUCACCCUCCUCUACUCUCUGACCGUCUCCAUCUUUGCCCUGGGCGGGCUGGGGGGCUCCUUGCUGGUGGGGAUGCUGGUGGCACGCUAUGGCAGGCAUGGCACGCUGGGACGCAGCGCUCUGCUCGUCCUCCUGGCUGGUGGCCUCAUGGCCUUCAGCCGACAGCUGGCGGCCCCCGAGAUGGUGAUCAUUGGCCGUGCCAUCACCGGGCUGCACUCAGGUAUCUGUCUCAGCGUGGUGCCUCUCUACCUGGGAGAAAUUGCCCCCAAGAACCUGCGGGGCUUCCUGGGCCUCCUGCCCAGCAUCUUCAUCUGCCUGGGGGUGUUCUGCGCACAGGUGCUGGGGCUGCCCGAGCUGCUGGGCCAGGACAGGUACUGGCCCCUAUUCCUAGCAGUGGUGGCCAUCCCUGCCUCCCUCCAGCUCCUGCUGCUGCACUGCUUCCCUGAGAGCCCGCGGUUCCUGCUGAUAGAGAGGAAUGACGUCUGUGGCUCCACUGAGGCGCUGCGCCGGUUCCUGGGGACGUCUGACGUGCAGGAGGUGCUGGAGGAGAUGAAGGAGGAGCAGCGCUCCCUCUCCUUGGUGCAGACGGUCUCAGUCUGGCAGCUGCUGCAGGAGCGCUCGGUGCGCUGGCAGACCCUCUCGGUGGCGGUGGUGAAUGUGGGCAUGCAGCUCUCCGGGAUCGAUGCUAUCUGGUUUUACACCAACACCAUCUUCCGGAACGCAGGGAUCCCCGAAUCCCAGAUCCCAUAUACCACUGUGGGCACCGGUGCCAUUGAAGUUGUUGCGGGGCUGAUCGGGUGCUUCACCAUCGAGAAGCUGGGCCGGCGGCCCCUCAUCAUCACCGGGUUCUGUGCCAUGGGCACUUGCCUGGCAGGCAUCACCGGCUGCCUGCUGCUUCAGGCUGCCCUGCCCUGGAUGCGCUACGUCGCCGUUGCCUGCGUGGUGGGCAUCAUCGCUGGGUUCUGCAUGGGGCCAGCUGGUGUCCCCUUCCUGAUGACGGCCGAGCUCUUCACGCAGUCCCACCGCUCGGCUGCCUAUGUCCUGGGGGGGUCUCUCAAUUGGCUCUGCAAUUUCACCAUCGGCUUCAUCUUCCCUUUCCUGCAGAUGUCAACCGGUGCCUUUUCCUACUUGGUUUUCUGUGGGGUCUGCCUGCUGGUGGCCCUCUACGUCUACCUCAUCGUCCCCGAGACCAAGAACAAGACCUUCAUGGAGAUCAGCCGUGUCUUCGCUGCCCGCCAACCCCUCGCCCCACUGUGCCACGCAGGGAUGCUGAGGCUCCGUGGCCUGAUGAUGCGCAUGGGAACAGGGACCGGUCCAUAUGGAUCCCUACUGCCUGGCCCUAACACUGUGGAAGCAGAGAUCACGGCCCCAUAGCAUCCUCCACGUCCCCCUCCCGACUCGGCUGCUCUCGGCAGCAGAACAGAGCGCAAACGACAGCAUCAUUUCAGGCCUCUUUGCCACUGGUAUUUAUUUAUUCCGGUAUUUAUUUAUCUCUCCCACCCUGCGUGCUGGGCAGCCUGGGAGAUGCCCUGUGCCCUCCCCGUGGGAAGCAGUGACCCCUCGACCCCUGCCUGCUGGUGUGACCCAUGAGCCCCGCUGUUGCCUUAUAGAAUCAUUAAGGUUGGAAAAGACCUCUAACAUCGUUGAGUCCAACCAUCCUCCUACCACCAAUACUGCCCUCUAAACUGGGGCCGAGGCGCAGGUUGCCCAGAGAGGUGCUGGGUGGGGACACUCACCUCCCUGGAGACACCCAAGGUCAGACUGGGUGGGCUCUGUGUGCAUGAUGAAGCAGUAGGUGUCCCUGUUCAGUGCGGGGGAAUGGGACCAGAUGGCCUUGAAGAGUUCCUUCCAACUCAGAGAAUUUGGUAGUUCUACAGUCCUCACAGGCUGGGAGCAGCACGGGGCUCCAGCACCACCCAACCCCACCUAAAGGAUUCGGCCAUACUCAGAGGGCACUGCGGAUGAGGGGAUGACACAGCGACGAUGAGGGGAAGGCUUUGAAAAAAAUCAGAGGUGUUACAAAGGAGUGACUUUGGUUACCACGAGGUGCUCACAGCCCCGGUAGGAUCUGUGGAAGCAAAGAUGGAGAUGAUCUUCUCCAGAUGGUGCCCAGUGUUGAGGGAGGGGCAUUGGGUGGAGAGGAGAGCAGAGAUUUGUGUCAUUGCAAACCAUAAUGCACUGCCUUGGAUCCAGCACUCCCCAACCCAGCCUCUCCAAAAGAUGUCUUUAAAGGAUGAGCUAUUUAGAAUAUAUAGAUACAUAUAUAGAAGCGUGCUUCCCUAUGGAAAGAGAAGGAAGGGUCCCGUAUUGGUACCGGGGCGGUUGGGGCGCGGGGUGCGCGCCAGCAGAUGGCACUGCCGGGAUUUAUGGCUGCAGCAAGCUGCCUCUCGGAGAGCACUCAUGUAGGAGAUGUCCUAUUAUAUGGGCAGUUGACUUUAAUAGUCAUUGUGUGCUUAAAGCACAGCAAAACAACAGUGGGAAAAAGAAGAAAAAAAAAAGAGAAGGAAAAAAAGAAAGAGAUCCCCCUCCUGUCGGAUGGCCCUUUCCCCCCCCAGCCCUGCUAGUCUAUUUGUACAGUAAAUUAAAAAUAUGAAUCACUUCUCUCUACUGCCUCCCCAAACACUCAUCCUGUCAGGCGCUGUGUUGUCUUCAUUUGUAUUACCUUAAUUUAAUGUUAAUUAUGUUCUUCAUUUACAAAGAACACGCGUCCGCACGCCCCGCCGGGGGAUUCUCCACGCUGCGCUCUCCGCAGAGCGGGGUGUUGUGCACAGUGCAGGGAUGGGCGGCAGGGAUGCUCUGUGCCCCCACCCCAUUGCUGCUAUUGCCUCUCGAUUUAUGGAAGCGCAUCGCUGCCGCCGUGCCCGAGUCGUGUCCCACCCUUCCAUCCACCCCCCCCCCCUCCCAAUAAAUCCUUCCUAAAAGGCGGUCGGCCCACGGAGGGCAGUGAUUUAUGGUGGAGAGGUGGGGGCGCGUUUGGGGGCGCAGCGUUGUUGUGUGCCUCGGUUUCCCCAUCGGCUGUUGGGGAAACCCCAAACUCCCAACGUGGGGGAGGGUGGGACGUCCUGGGCCGGGCCGGGCAGAGCUGGGAAAGCAGUGGGCAGAGUGGGCUGGGAGCACCCACCAAAAGCCCCCAAAUACCCUGCCAAGGUAUUUAAUACAGGUAUUAAAUUAGAAAUCCGCCCAAACCUUCUUAUUGUCUGUUAUUACCCAAAGAAUAGAAAAGAACUGAAAAUGACAGCCCCCCCACAUAAAGACCCACGAUCCCAAGCACCUUUCUCCCCAUCCCCACCCCCAGUUUCCAUGGAAACAGCCAAAUAUUGGGGGGCAAAGCCCUGAGCACCCCCAACCACAAAUUAUCGGGCAGCUUCAGGCCUGGGACAGGUUCCUGGGGGGGGGGCGUGGGGGU